CGGGGCGUAGCUUAGCCUGGUAGAGCGCUACCUUAGGGAGGUAGAGGCCGCUGGUUCGAAUCCAGUCGCUCCGACCA
rnacentral:tRNA from 1 species